AUAGUAAAUUGGCUCAAACACAGCCCUACUGAAAUGGAGGGUUACAUUUGCCCCGGUUGCCUUGUACUAUCCAUGUACCUAUUAAUGCCGGGUAUUGCAUGGGAUGAGCUUGAAGAAAAUCUCCUCCAGAGAGUAAACUCAUUAUUUCAAAGUUCUGAUUUGGAUUUCUGGAGAAAAGGAAGGUUUUUAGUUCGAACCAACUCCCAGUUGGUAUCAUAUAAAGCAGGAAUGACCCGUUUAUCAAAAUUGUGGAGAACAUGGAAUACCCCUGAAUUGACCCUUGUGUCACCAAUUGCUGUUGUUGGUGGGCAGAAGACCUCCCUCAUUCUUAAAGGCCACAAUCUAUCUAUUCCUGGCACACAGAUCCACUGUACAAGCAUAGGGAAGUACAUAUCCAAAGAAGUUUUGUGCUCAGCAUAUCCAGGUACCAUAUAUGAUGAUUCAGGUGUUGAGACAUUUGACUUGCCAAGAAAACCAGAUCUUAUUAUUGGGCGCUGCUUUGUUGAGGUAGAAAACAGGUUCAGGGGUAACAGAUUCCCUGUUAUCGGUGGACUAUGUACACUAUGUUUUUUUGAAGAGAUAAUAGAGAGGUCACAUAGUUCUAUACAAAGCGGUUAA